rnacentral:rRNA from 1 species
UACGGAGGAGGCAAGCGUUAUCCGGAAUUACUGGGCGUAAAGGGCCAGUAGGCGGCCAACUAAGUCCGACGUGAAAUCCCAAGGCUUAACCUUGGAACUGCGUCGGAUACUGGAUGGCUUGAAUUCGGGAGAGGGAUGCAGAAUUCCAGGUGUAGCGGUGAAAUGCGUAGAUAUCUGGAGGAACACCGGUGGCGAAGGCGACAUCCUGGACCGGUAUUGACGCUGAGGCGCGAAAGCCAGGGGAGCAAACGGG